rnacentral:rRNA from 1 species
ACGAACGCUGAUGGCGUGCCUCAUACAUGCAAGUCGAGCGCGUAGCAAUUACGAGCGGCGAACGGGUGAGUAACACGUGAACAAUCUGCCCUUGUGUGGGGGAUAACCAUCCCAACGGAUGGCUAAUACCGCAUAACGUAUCGGGAGGGCAUCCUCCCUUUACAAAAGAUUUAUCGCACAAGGAUGAGUUCGCGUCCCAUUAGCUAGUUGGCGGGUAACGGCCCACCAAGGCAACGAUGGGUAGCCGGCCUGAGAGGGUGUCCGGCCACAUUGGGACUGAGAUACGGCCCAGACUCCUACGGGAGGCAGCAGUAGGGAAUUUUGCGCAAUGGGGAAACCCUGACGCAGCAACGCCAUGUGUGGGAUGAAGCAUUUCGGUGUGUAAACCACUGUCGGCAGGGAUAAAGCCCGCGUUUAUCGCGGGGUGAAUGUACCUGCAGAGGAAGCCCCGGCUAACCUUCGUGCCAGCAGCCGCGGUAAUACGAGGGGGGCAAGUGUUGUUCGGAAUCACUGGGCGUAAAGGGAGCGCUAGCGGGCUCUUAAGUUGGAUGUUUAAAACCGGGGCCCAACCCGGCGUGGCAUCCAAAACUGGAGUCUUGAUGGGACAGAGGCUGGUGGAAUUGGAGGUGUAGCGGUGGAAUGCGUAGAGAUCUCCAAGAACACCCCAGUUGCGAAGGCGGCCAGCUGGGUCCGACAUUGACGCUGAGGCUCGAAAGCGUGGGGAGCAAACAGGAUUAGAUACCCUGGUAGUCCACGCCCGUAAAACGAUGAACACUAGGUUUUGAGCCCGUCAACGGCUCAGAGCCGCAGAGCUAACGCGUUAAGGUGUUCCGCGCUGGGAGUACGGUCGGCAAGAUCUCGCUGAACUCAAAGGAAUUGAGGGGGCCCGCACAAAGCGGUGCUGAGCAUGUAGUGUUUGUAAUUCGACGCAACGCGGUGCAUGAAUCCUUAACCAGGGCUUAACAUGGAAAGGGACAGAACGAGAGAUCGUUCCUUCUCCGCAAGGGGACCUUUCACACAGGUUGCAGCUGCAUGGCUGUCGUCAGCUCGUGUCGUGAGAUGUUGGUUAAGUCCCGCAACGAGCGCAACCCUCGUUUUUAGGUUGCCAUCAUUCAGUUGGGCACUCUAAAGAGACUGCCGCGAAUAACGCGGAGGAAGGUGGGGACGACGUCAAGUCAUCAUGGCCCUUACGUCCUGGGCUACACACGUGCUACAAUUGGCGCACAAAGGGUCGCAAGAGCGCAAGACUGGAGCCAAUCUAUAAAAGCGCCCUCAGUUCAGAUCGAGGUCUGCAACCCGACCUCGUGAAGGUGGAAUCGCUAGUAAUCGCGGAUCAAGAACGCCGCGGUGAAUACGUUCCGGGCUUGUACACACCGCCCGUCAAGUGCCACGAAAGGAGAGAGCCGCUCUAAGCCGCCUUGGCAACCCGCAAGGAGCUAAGCGUCUAAAGCGAGAUCUCUGAUUGGGGCU